rnacentral:tRNA from 1 species
AGUUGGGUGGUUAAGACACCAGGCUGCAAACCGGGAGACUAUGAGUUCAAGUCCCAU